rnacentral:lncRNA from 1 species
AUGGCUUGUUUUUUGGCAGACCUGAAAACUGUGUUUUAGAGCAGCUGCUCAAGUGAACCUUUAUUUUUCAGAUCUGGAUGGAGUGUUUCUUCAUCUGCAUGAUGCUGUCUAGGACUACAGCUCUGUGACACUCCUCAGCUGUGCUAGCAGAAGAGGCAGAGAGGCUUCCAAGAAGCUCUGAAAAGGAGAAAAGUCUGGAGCUUCUAAUUAGAAAUCAAAAUGUUUUGAGCAUCAUGAAUUCACACUACCUCCUAGAGCUUAUGUGACUUGAGAGCUAAAGAACACAGCCCUGCAAGCUAUAGUACAUAUAACUGUGAUUACAGAGCAGGCGUUCGUCAUUGAUGAACAUAACAUUGUUCCUUUUUCAGCAACCUGAAUCUGUAGAAACCACGAAACAGC